UACGGGGGGGGUAAGCGUUGUUCGGAAUUACUGGGCGUAAAGGGCUCGUAGGCGGCCAACUAAGUCGGACGUGAAAUCCCUCAGCUUAACUGGGGAACUGCGUCCGAUACUGGAUGGCUUGGAUUUGGGAGAGGGAUGCGGAAUUCCAGGUGUAGCGGUGAAAUGCGUAGAUAUCGAGAGGAACACCUGCGGCGAAGGCGGGUAGCUGGGCCGACACUGACGCUGAUGCGCGAAAGCCAGGGGAGCGAACGGG
rnacentral:rRNA from 1 species